rnacentral:rRNA from 1 species
UACGUAGGGGGCAAGCGUUGUCCGGAUUUAUUGGGCGUAAAGAGCGUGUAGGCGGCCAGACAAGUCUGCUGUGAAAACUCGAGGCUCAACCUCGAGCUGUCGGUGGAAACUGUCUGGCUAGAGUCCGGAAGAGGAGAGUGGAAUUCCUGGUGUAGCGGUGAAAUGCGCAGAUAUCAGGAAGAACACCUAUGGCGAAGGCAGCUCUCUGGGACGGUACUGACGCUGAGACGCGAAAGCGUGGGGAGCGAACAGG